rnacentral:lncRNA from 1 species
AUAGUUGGUUUAAAUACCUUAUAAAUGGAUUUAGAGGAAUCCUAGCAUGCUAUCUAGAUGAAUGAUACUUGAUUCAUGAAGGAAUUUGGUGGAUUUUUAUCUAGUUGCAACUUAGGGCUUCAAAAUGGGAUUUUUGUAAAUGUGAGGGUUUGAUCUCAUUUGACCCUCUGUAAACCUAAUUGAUAGGUCACUGAACACGUUGGAAGCGACGGUUCGGCGAUUCGUCGAGCCGGUGCAAAGUUAUUAAAGAAACGGACGUUUAGGCUUCGUUUCCGCCUGGAGGGCCGAGGCGACGUCGUAAAAUCCUGAAAACGGAUUUGAAGCAUCGUAACAAGAAACCGAAGACCUUUAAUUUUUGGAUCGCGGAUCGGAGGUCGUUUGGUGGUCGCGCGCGGAUUGGGUCAAGCCGAGCGGCGUGCGCCGCGGGAGGCUGAUUGCGAGUGACGACGAGCAAUCGGAACGCGAUAAAAGGUGGGGGGUGUCUAUUCCGAAGCAACUGAGCUUCUUCCUAUGUCUUAGUACUUUAUCAAUUUGUAUAAAGUAUAUUGUAUGUUGCUACGCUUUAUAGGAUGACAAUACAUGCAUUCCUAAUCCUUGUAUGAUGUUUAUGAUCAAUAUAGUAUUAUGAUAUGGAUAUAUGAUGUAAUGGACAUAAGGAUUAUGAGAUGACAUCGGUAAACCUAUGAUGCUAAAUGAAAUAAGAACCUAGUAUUGUAUUUAAAGACAUAGUUUACAAGUGGCAUUGAACUCAUUGUGCUAAAAACACAUAUGACUUGAACUUAGUAAUGGAUUGGUUGUUGUACUAGAAACUCUAGUUAACAUUGAUCAAGUUGCAUAUUGGGAUAUUGCAUUAUAGGGUACUAGUUGGCAAUUGUUACAUGUCAUGGCAUGCUAGUGGGAGUGUAGUGUUACUUGAUUAAUAUUUGUACCUAGUAUGCAUGAGAUUGGGACUUAGUGUGGUGAAACCCUAUAAGGGCAUGAUUAAUGUGGAUUAAACUUUAGUUGAGUACAUUAAUCGAUCAAGUUGCAUAUUGUAUUUAUUGCAUAUAGGUGCUAGAUGAUUAUGGUUAUUGCUUAUAUUUGCAUGCUAGUAGCUAUACAUCUUGAUGAUUGAUCCAUGAUCUAGUAUGCAUGAGAACCUAGACCCUAUAUGUGAUGAUUAAUAUUUAUGUGAUUAAAGAAUUAGUAUGACGAAACUAGUGUUAAAAGUGGCAUCUAGUUUAGAAAACUAUGACAAGUGGCAUCUAGUCAUAGAAAACUAUGAUGUGAGGCAUAUGAUUGUUGAUGACCUUGACAUGAGAACAUUAGUGUAGUUGUGACAUUAUGAGAUUGGGUACAAGAACACCUUGAUUCCAUGAUGAGAUUACCCUUAGAGGGUAGGUUGCUGAUGUUCGUGAGUUGAUCGUGCUCACAUAGCCUGUCUGCGCUUGGAGGGGUCGCUCCCCAUAAGCUGUGCACUCCGGAGGUUGGUCACUAGAGGGACAGUCAGUGUGCUGUCUGGACGGUCUGUGUGCUGUUCGCAGGCGGUCUCGGGAAAUAGUUCAGUGAGACUUUCCCCUAUGAGACUUACACGUGAGAUAUGUUCGUGAACCCCGAGUUCACCAUGAGAUUUGGUUACCUAUUGAGUCAUACUCAUUAUCGUUGUUCAUGAUAGCUCGUUUCCAUAGUUGUUGUGUUGUUCAUAGUAGCUUACUAGUGUUCAUAGUAGCUUACUUAUUGCUCAUGCAUUCAUGAUAUACUAUUCCUUCACCUAUGAGAUUUGAGUGGAGUAACCUUGUACCUAGUAGGUCGAGAUGUGAGUCGGGCAAAGUGCGGGGUAGCCUUUGCCUAGGACUUUGAGAUGUGAGUCGGGCAAGGAGUGGGGUAGCUCUUCGCCUAGGACCUUCGAGAUUGAGUCAGACCUUGAGAUGUGAGUCGGGCGAGGAGCGGGGUAGCUCUUUGCUCAGGACCCUUAAGACAUGAAUCGAAUAAGACAAGAAUGAGGUAGCUUUUCACCUACUAGAUUUGAGAUCUUAGGCAAAGUAGCCUAGUGGAUUGGGCAAUAAUGUGAAUAGCAUAAGUGGAUUGCAUUCAUACCAUGAUUAGACAUAGUGCAUUGCAUAACUAUGUUAUAGUUGUAUUCAUUUCACUGUUGAGGCAUAUUAGCAUGAUAGUAGAUUGUUGCUAGAUGAUAAUCCAUACACUUCUUUCAUUUGAUGGCAUAGUAGAUAUAGUAGCAGUUUAUUUCCGUAUAUCUUUCUAUCUAUCUAUCUGUGCCAGCUUGGACCUAGUGGGAAGAUCGGCGGAGUCGGCGGCCGAACCCACUGGGAACUAUAUUUAUAUAGUUCUCACCCCGUCUGGUUUUAGGGUACAGGUACAUACGAGAGCGGACCGGCAGAUGAUCGCGGCAAGGGCUUAGCGCCCUAGUGCUAGUUGGUAGUUUACUUUCCUAUUUUGCAUUAG